rnacentral:rRNA from 1 species
GACGAACGCUGGCGGCGUGCCUAAUACAUGCAAGUAGAACGCACAGUUUAUACCGUAGCUUGCUACACCAUAGACUGUGAGUUGCGAACGGGUGAGUAACGCGUAGGUAACCUGCCUGGUAGCGGGGGAUAACUAUUGGAAACGAUAGCUAAUACCGCAUAAUAUUAAUUAUUGCAUGAUAAUUAAUUGAAAGGUGCAAUUGCACCACUACCAGAUGGACCUGCGUUGUAUUAGCUAGUAGGUGAGGUAACGGCUCACCUAGGCGACGAUACAUAGCCGACCUGAGAGGGUGAUCGGCCACACUGGGACUGAGACACGGCCCAGACUCCUACAGGAGGCAGCAGUAGGGAAUCUUCGGCAAUGGACGAAAGUCUGACCGAGCAACGCCGCGUGAGUGAAGAAGGUUUUCGGAUCGUAAAGCUCUGUUGUAAGAGAAGAACGGGUGUGAGAGUGGAAAGUUCACACUGUGACGGUAUCUUACCAGAAAGGGACGGCUAACUACGUG